rnacentral:misc_RNA from 1 species
AACGCAUAUUGCGCCCUCUGGUAUUCCGGAGGGCAUGCCUGUUCGAGCGUCAUUAUCACCCCUCAAGCCCGGCUUGCUGUUGGACGCAGCGGCGCACCCCCGUCUUCGGGGGCGCCUGCUCUUCCCAAAGAUAAUGACGGCGUCUGUGAGGACUCCAGUACACUGAGCUUUCGGGCACGUACUCGGUUAGAAAUCCAGACCCGGUCGACGUCGCCCCCGUCCGCGGGGACGACACCCCCCUUUUCAAGGUUGACCUCGGAUCAGGUAGGAAUACCCGCUGAACUUAA